rnacentral:lncRNA from 1 species
CUUGUUUAUAGGAAUUUAAAAUUAUUGAUCGCUUUCAAUCUUUUAAAGAUUUAUUUGUUUAUUUAUUUAGUAACACAGUAAAAAGGAAGUAAAUUCUAAAUGGUAAGAAACAAAUCUUUAUGUCAAUUUUACUAAUGUCGACAAUACUAAGUAUCCAGUAACAUAAUGAUACCCAUUUUCCUGCAAGAACGUACAUUUUAGACGUACAAUCAAAUAGUAAAUACUGAUCAUAUGUAAUAGUAUAAAAUGUUUCAUAGGUUGCUGGAAAAAAAAUGUUGUUUAAAAUGUCUUCAAAAUAUUUUGUUUUGAAAAUAUUUAAAACGAGAUAUGACUAACAUGUUGCACCAUAGUAGCGUGAAUCAUUCUCAUGAAAGUUGCACGAACGACUAUACCGCUGUUCAAACUCAUAAAUCCAUGGACAAAAACAAACUCUUGGUAACGAACUAAUACUGAGAGAAACGCAUUAAAUAUAAGAGGAGAACAACGACACAACAUCAAAAUGUAACACACACAGAAACGGACUAAGCAUUAGACAAAAUAUAACAUCAAAAUCAAAUACAUGAAUUUGGGAUAGAUAAGUACCGUGACACGUCUUAUAGUAAUUAAGCCUUUUUUACCGAUUUUUUAUUUUUGUACUGUUACACCACUGUACAAGGUUAGGGGAGGGUUUGGGAUCCCGCUUACUAGUUUAACACCGCCACAUUUUGUAUGUAUGUGCCUUUCUAAAGUCAGGAUCCUGUAAUUCGGUGGUUGUCGUUUGUUUAUGUAUUACAUAAUUGUUUUUCGUUCAUUUUUUGUACAUAACCGUUUGUUUUCUCGUUUGAAUUUUUUACAUUGUCAUUUCGGAGCCUUUUAUAGCUGACUAUGCGGUAUGGACUGUGUUCAUUGUAGAAGGCCAUACAGUGACCUAUAAUUGUUAAUUUCUGUGUCAUUUUGGUCUCUUGUGGAGAGUUGUCUCAUUGGCUUUCAUACCACAUCUUCGUUUUUAUUAUAACAAGGCCAUGGCUAAAAAAGAAAAAGACAAACAGACAUAUAAUAGUAUACAAGACACAACAUAGAAAACUAAAGACUAAGCAGUAUUCAUCUAUAGUCAUAUUGGCUUUGGAGAGUUCAAAAGCUUUUUAUUCAAUUAAUGAUAAGAUAAUUGUUUUUUAACGCAUGUUAAUAAAGAGCUGUUAAUUAUGGUAUAUGAUUUCUGAGGCUAAAACCUAUUUGAUUUUUAACUGAGUUUUCUUAUGAAAAGUCUAGUUAGUAGUUUAGACAGGAACGGAGGGCGGCGAGCGGGUGAAGUUUGGGCAGGUGACAACUGCUUCCGUGUAUGAACUAUUGAACCAUUUAAAUUAUGCUUUUUAAAUUGUAAUAUGCUUAGUUGAUAUUCAUCACAAAAUGGAGGUCACGUUCGAUAUUGACGACUUUCACUUUAAGUAUUCAUUAGAAAAAAUUCUAUAAUACUUCAUGAAAACUUUUAAAUUAUAAUAUGCUGUUGGAGGAUUUUCAGUCAUGGGUUAUGGUCUAUGGGGUAGAUUUGGAAAUAUACCUUUGACGAGUGGGUGCUAACAAAUUUUGUACUAUAACUUAAAAACCUUUAAACAAAUGAUUUUGAAAUUUUUAUAUAUAGAUACAUAUAUGUAUACAUAAUGAAGGUCAAUUUCAACUUGAUGAGUUUCAAUACUUCCGUCUUUAAAUUAUGAUCCUUGGAGGCAAAUGGAAAAUAGACAUAGAAUAUAACAGAUAAAAUAUACCUGACUGCACCUUUCAAAAUAUAGAAAACCAAGUUUGUUGAAAAUUUGACGACUCAUUCCUUGUUUCUAAUUAUGUUAAAAGUUAAACGUUCACUAAACCAAUAUCCGAAAACUAUGAAUGCAUAUAAUUGUGUUGCCAUUGUGCAUAUAUAUUCCGUGCGAGCACUGUAGUACCGUUAUGUUAAACCAGUGAGUAAUUCUUCACCAAGUUGACAUCCCGAUUAUAUAUAAUAAACAAUAAUGAAUUUCUUAUGAGUGUCAUUCUUUUUAUAAUUCAAUAGAUACAAAAUGUGAUAUGAGUGCCAAUGAGACAAGUCCCAAUUUGUAAAAGUAAACUGUUUAAGGUCAAAGUACGGUUUUUAACACGGAGCCUUGGCUCACAUCGAACAGCAAGCUAUAAAGGUCACUAAAAAUGACGUGAAAAUCCAUUCACACGGAAAAAACAACGUUCUACUCUGUAUCAAAAAAUAAAAAGAGAAACACUUAUGAUCAAGAAACGACCACUACCAAACAUCAGAUUCAAGCCCGUUUUAGUGACGUGUUCUAACAAGCCAAGAUUGUCAUUAUAAUGAAGUUCAAGUGCAUUUCAAAAAUCAAAGGAACAACUGAACGACCUGUCAUAAAAAUGCCAAGAUUGUGGUUUUUUUUUGUAUUAAUUUUUGCGAUCUUCGAACGAGUUUGAUCGCUUAAAUCCUUCCCCUUAAAAUUUAUAGUUUAUAUUUUCCUUAUUCCAUAUCAUCAUUUUCUGUAACAGCCUUUUUUUAUAAUAAUGUACGUGUUCAAAUUCACCCAUCACAGUGAAGUGAUGGUUAGAGAUUGUUUGUAUUACGUAUUACAUCUGCCUUAAAACGUGGUUUAUAUUUCAAAACCUAAACAGGUUCCUAAAUUGCGUCAGGUAUAUACAUGCCGUGAAGUCGGACAUUUUGUUUUGAUCUCAAUCCUCCAUAUGUACCUAUGACCAAUGUGGAAUAAACAAAUUAACAACAAUCCGCACAAUAAAAAUCAGUCUGAAUCCGAUGUUAGAUUAAGUAAAAUAAGGAACUGAACAAAAUGACAAUGAUCAAUAUACAUAAACACAGUACUGCUAACAGCUACUGACAUGUCAGUUCCAUACAAAAAUUAAACUAAUCUAAAGAUCGAUAAUGUUUGUAUUUAGUAAAAAUAAAGCUCAAUCCCUCUCGUUAUGGGUUUGGUAUCAUGCCAUAAUGAAUUAUACGAGAAGAGCAUGAAGAGAAUGGUCUAUAUAGAAUGUUCUAAUUUAACUCUAUUACAUGUAUAUGUUUGGUGAGCAGAAAGUGAUAAUUCUGGAAGGAAACUGUAAGUUGGUAUUUAAUUUGAAAUCCGAUCACAUCACCCUAUAACCACAAAACAUGCAAUGAAACAAUGAAAUUGAUUACAUGGGUAGCAUUUACUAGUAACUUUUAAAAACAGUCGUUCUUAAAGAGUCAAAUGAAGCCGAUAAAACCACAGUAGUUAAAAUGAAAUGGCAUUAAGCUUUAGAGAACACCGUACGGUCUUCAGUAAUGAGACAACCCCAUUCCGUAUACUUGUCAAUAAAGUGCCCUUACUUGAAAUUGUGAAUUAAUUCAAACGGAUAAACUAAAAGCCUAUUUAAUAGAAAAACAACUUAAGAAAAAAAAUAUGAUAGACAUGAAACAACGACUACCACUGAACUACGGGCUCCUGACUUUAAAAAUAUUAUUGUUAACGGUUAAGAAGUGCAAAGCAUAAAUGCACAUAUGUACAUGAUGUACUUUAUAAUUUUUGUUUUUUAUUUCAGUCUUAAUAUGUGUAUUCAAGGAAAAUAACAGAAAAGAAGGUUAAAUAUGUCUGCAUACUGUUUAUAUUGGAUCCUGUGUAUGCAGACCUUAGUGUUAACAUUAGGUCAGUUAACAUCUAAAUGAAAUGAUCCUGUUGAUAUUAAGUUUCUUUUUGUAAUUAUCCCCACUACCUUUAACAUGUUUUUACUAACCAAUGACCUAUUGACAACUUUAAUCGCACAUACAUUUUACCAAUCAAUUUGAAAUUCAUUAGUACUUAAAGACUUUCUGAUAUGCACACUAGAGAUCAAGGAAGGUAGAUUUACAUCUAAAUGCAGAAAAAUCGAAUAUCAUUCUAAAUGUAGAAAAAUCAAAUAUCGUUCUAAAUGCAGAAAAAUCGAAUAUCAAAACAUCGAAUAUCAUUCUAAAUGUAGAAAUAUCGAAUAUCAUUCUAAAUAUAGAAAAUCGAUUAUCAUUCUAAAUGCAGAAAGAUCGAAAAUCAUUCUAAAUGUAGAAACAUCGCAUAUCAUUCUAAAUGCAGCAAAAUCGAAUAUAAUUCUAAAGGUCGAAACAUUGAAUAUCAUUCUAAAUGUAGAAAAAUCGAAUAUCAUUCAAAAUAUAGAAAAAUCGAAGAUCAUUCUAAAUGCAGCAAAAUCGAAUAUAAUUCUAAAUGUAGAAACAUCGAAUAUCAUUCAAAAUGCAGCAAAAUCGAAUAUCAUUCUAAAUGUAGAAACAUCGGAUAUCAUUCUAAAUGCAGCAAAAUCGAAUUUCAUUCUAAAUGCAGCAACAUCGAAUAUCAUUCUAAAUGCAGCAAAAUCGAAUAUCAUUCUUAUUGCAGCAAAAUCAAAUAUCAUUCUAAAUGUAGAAACAUUGAAUAUAAUUCUAAAUGUAGAAACAUCGAAUAUCAUUCUAAAUGUAGAAACAUCGGAUAUCAUUCUUAAAGCAGCAAAAUCGAAUAUCAUUCUAAAUGUAGAAACAUCGAAUAUCAUUCUAAAUGCAGCAAAAUCGAAUAUCAUUCUAAAUGUAGAAACAUCGGAUAUCAUUCUAAAUGGAGCAAAAUCGAAUAUCAUUCUAAAUGUAGAAACAUCAAAUAUAAUUCUAAAUGUAGAAACAUCGAAUAUCAUUCUAAAUGUAGAAAAAUCGAAUACUAAAUGAUCGAUCAUUCUAAAUGUUAUCAUUCUAAAUGCAACAAAAUCGAAUAUCAUUCUAAAUGUAGAAAAAUCGAAUAUCAUUCUAAAUGCAUAAAAAUCGAAUAGCAAGGUGCUUUCAACAAUUGGCAAGAUAAGUGUCUUGUGACAAUCGUGCUUUUAAACGUUUAAGUUUUAAAUUAUAUUUGAAUAAUUUUUUAAAACAUAGCACAAUAUAUGCAUCUAACGCUAAAUUACUAGUAUUUAAAUGACAUGGUUAUAAUCUUGGGAAAGGCACAUCGAAAUGUACGGUGUUACACUGUAACUUCUGUUAUAUAACCUACUUACUUUAGAGUUUUAAGGGUUACGCAAGUAUCAAUCUGACUUCUCAACUAAAAAAUGUACAUAUUUCAUGGCUUUUCUUUCUAGAAAUUCAUACUUAGAUUUGUGCGUACCGUACUUCAUACAUUCAUUAAAUAGUCGUCAUCAAGUUUGUUUGUUUUAAAUAUAUAAAACAUUGAGGGUUAAAAAACAAAGGAGCUUGACAAAAAACCGUCUAUGGUCAACUUUGUACAUUCCUACUUUUAAAACAGGGUUUUUUUUCUUAAUAUAAUUUCGUCUGUUGACAUGUAGUUUAUAGGCCUCACAUUUUAAUGAAAAAAUACAGGAUUGUCAUUCUGGAGCACCAGGAAUCAAGUUUGUUCAUAAUCGAAACUACAAAUAAUCAAUCCAAUGGAAAAAAAAAAUCGAUUAUCAACUUAUGACCAAAGAUGAUGAAUAUACUAUAACUUAUUUUAUAGGAUACAAAGGAAAAGAACAUUUAGAAAUAUAUCAAUGUCAUGAUAUUUUUUUCUCUUUGCAGACAAGAAAUAUGUUUAGUAUUUUACACUAUAUUUAAAAGGAAAUAAAACAUUUGAUAUAUUGAAUGCUAGUGCAGUUACAACUUGUUUUUUUAGGUCAACUUGCUAUAAAAACUAAUUGCCAUGUACUAGGGAGCCCAUGUACUAUAUCUUGUUCCAUUCCCGACUUUAGCAAACUUGCAUCAUGGAGUAGAAACAACACGAG